GUGCCAGCCGCCGCGGUAAUACGGAGGAUCCUAGUGUUAUCCGGAUUUAUUGGGUUUAAAGGGAGCGUAGGCGGGAGGUCAAGUCAGCUGUGAAAUGUAUCUGCUUAACGGGUACACUGCAGUUGAAACUGGUUUUCUUGAGUGCGUAAGAGGCAGGCGGAAUUCGUUGUGUAGCGGUGAAAUGCUUAGAUAUGACGAGGAACUCCUAUUGCGAAGGCAGCUUGCUGGGUCGUUACUGACGCUGAUGCUCGAAGGUGCGGGGAUCAAACAGGAUUAGAUACCCUGGUAGUCCGCACAGUAAACUAUGGAUACUCUCUGCCGGCGAUAUAUUGUCGGUGGCCAAGCGAAAGCGUUAAGUAUCCCACCUGGGGAGUACGUUCGCAAGAAUGAAACUCAAAGAAAUUGACGG
rnacentral:rRNA from 1 species